rnacentral:rRNA from 1 species
UGGGGAAUAUUGGACAAUGGGCGAAAGCAUGAUCCAGCCAUGCCGCGUGUGUGAAGAAGGUCUUCGGAUUGUAAAGCACUUUAAGUUGGGAGGAAGGGCAUUAACCUAAUACGUUAGUGUUUUGACGUUACCGACAGAAUAAGCACCGGCUAACUCUGUGCCAGCAGCCGCGGUAAUACAGAGGGUGCAAGCGUUAAUCGGAAUUACUGGGCGUAAAGCGCGCGUAGGUGGUAUGUUAAGUUGGAUGUGAAAUCCCCGGGCUCAACCUGGGAACUGCAUUCAAAACUGACUGACUAGAGUAUGGUAGAGGGUGGUGGAAUUUCCUGUGUAGCGGUGAAAUGCGUAGAUAUAGGAAGGAACACCAGUGGCGAAGGCGACCACCUGGACUAAUACUGACACUGAGGUGCGAAAGCGUGGGGAGCAAACA